GAGAAUUACUCCAAGUUGGGGUGAAAACUUCCUGCAUUCCAGAAGUUCGAUGGCAUUGAGAAGGUGAAUCACAGUAGCUAACUCAACGCAAGGAGUGCAAACACUUCAAGUGCUUCAAAAGUGUGAGCAAAGAACAGGCGAAGGCUAGUAACCAGCUCGAUGCAUGAAGUACAACCUCGAGGAGGCGGGCGAAGUCAAGUAACCUUUGCCUUCUCAACUCUUAAGAGAAUGGGCG
rnacentral:lncRNA from 1 species